GAUGAACGCUGGCGGCGUGCCUAAUACAUGCAAGUCGAGCGAAUGGAUUAAGAGCUUGCUCUUAUGAAGUUAGCGGCGGACGGGUGAGUAACACGUGGGUAACCUACCCAUAAGACUGGGAUAACUCCGGGAAACCGGGUCUAAUACCGGAUAACAUUUUGAACCGCAUGGUUCGAAAUUGAAAGGCGGCUUCGGCUGUCACUUAUGGCUGGACCCGCGUCGCAUUAGCUAGUUGGUGAGGUAACGGCUCACCAAGGCAACGAUGCGUAGCCGACCUGAGAGGGUGAUCGGCCACACUGGGACUGAGACACGGCACAGACUCCUACGGGAGGCAGCAGUAGGGAGUCUUCCGCAAUGGACGAAAGUCUGACGGAGCAACGCCGCGUGAGUGAUGAAGGCUUUCGGGUCGUAAAACUCUGUUGUUAGGGAAGAACAAGUGCUAGUUGAAUAAGCUGGCACCUUGACGGUACCUAACCAGAAAGCCACGGCUAACUACGUGCCAGCCGCCGCGGUAA
rnacentral:rRNA from 1 species